rnacentral:rRNA from 1 species
UACGAAGGGUGCAAGCGUUACUCGGAAUUACUGGGCGUAAAGCGUGCGUAGGUGGUUUGUUAAGUCUGAUGUGAAAGCCCUGGGCUCAACCUGGGAAUUGCAUUGGAUACUGGCAGGCUAGAGUGCGGUAGAGGAUGGCGGAAUUCCCGGUGUAGCAGUGAAAUGCGUAGAGAUCGGGAGGAACAUCUGUGGCGAAGGCGGCCAUCUGGACCAGCACUGACGCUGAGGCGCGAAAGCUAGGGGAGCAAACAGG